rnacentral:lncRNA from 1 species
UUGGACUAGGGUGUUUAUUGAGUUGUAAUUGUUGUGUCACUCUAAGCUUUUAAGCGUGAGUGCUGUGUUUCUUGACUAAAGAUUUUAAGCACAAUCAAGAGUUGUUUGAAGUAUAUCUUCACCACUGACUUUAAAAUUAUUAAAGGUUGUAAUUACUGUUGUGAUUGAGGGGGAGUGAGUAGGAACUCAGGUCUUAGUGUAGAUUGAAAUUGCAUUGGGUAGGUCUUAAGUGAUAGGAUUAAACCGGUGGUUUAAGUCCUGAAUUAAUACCUCUUAUAGUGGAUUUCCUCCCUGG